GCUGGUGUAGCUCAGUUGGCAGAGCAACUGAUUUGUAAUCAGUCGGUCGGGGGUUCAAGUCCCUUCACCAGCU
rnacentral:tRNA from 1 species